rnacentral:lncRNA from 1 species
CUGGCACUGGCUGACAGGAUGCAGAAAGAUGAUUUUCCUAACACAGAUUUUCCUCUGCUUUUGAUGAUAUUAAGAGGCAAGUUGCCACACAGAGAGAAGCAUGCCCAUCUCAUAUACUUCAAGUACAUUGCUGCCAUUGCUGUCUCUGGGAGAACAUAUGGACGUGGCACCACGUUCACCUUUUUCAUCUCUCAGCAAUUAGAAUUAAAAUGCUGUGUCCAAAGAAGAAGCAAAAAUACUUCAUCUCACUGCAAUACAAUCCCUGAAGAACCACACCAGGACUGCAACAUACUAAACAUUGAAGAUUAUGAAGGACCAUAUGGAACUUACUGCAUCUGAGGAACAUUAACUCUGGAUCAUGUGGAAAAGUCUAAAAUAAGGACAUGACUAAGCUGGCCUCUUUAAUGACUAGAAAAAGAAACAAAAUGGAAAACAUCCACCUUCUAGGCUUCACCCUGUGCAGUGACCUGGAAAAGAAAACCUAUUGGCACCAGCAAUCAAGCUUUCCUGUAUUAUCUUCCCAGGAGGUUGAUUGCACUGUCCUAAAUGUGGGUGACUGCUUGAGGUCCAAAAUUCUUUACACUGGUGCUAUUUCUCUGAAAUCCAAACAUAAUUAGAAAAGCAGAAAUAUACAGUGGUAGCCAGUAUACAGUAUGGCAUACCAUAACAACAGUAAAGAAUUUCCAAUCAAGCUGGGUAAGAAAACAAAGCUACCAGCCUGCCAGCUGUGAAUUUCAUGAUUUUCAAGGUACCUUUUACAAAAAAAAAAAAAAAAAAAGUAGCAAAAUGUUUCAGAAAUCAGAAAAUCACUGCAGUAUUACCUUUGUUUCUCCCAAAUGGGCAAUCUUUGCAGUUAUUUCGAAUGCAAAAACCACACAUAUUCUUGAAGUACCACUCACCAGAACUCAUUCUUUUCUGUUCUAUUUUUAAGAAGUUCUGGUUUUGUCUUGCAUGUAUGACUUGAUCAAAGGAUGCUUUAAAAUUAAACUUCUGAAACCAACAACAG